UUUUAGCACUCAAGGGUUGGCAGUCUAAUAAUCUAACCCUAACCCUAAGAAUUUUUAAGGUUUAAUUGCAAAUAUUGCUGUUAAUGUUAAUCAUUCUUCAUUAAUGGUUUUUAAUUUCUGUCCAAAUUACCUUCAGCACACUGAGUUGGAGACCAUAACACUGAAGUGCUAGACACACCAUGGCAGCAUGCAUGAAGGUACAUCAUAAGCUGGAAACAACACUAGAAGCCUACAGUGCCACUCUACUCCUCAAACAGUGAUACGCUUCAUCAUGAUGUCAAGAGUGAGGUGAAAAUGACAGCUGUAAGGAGAAAGCAACAGUUUGAAUCAAAGUUAUACUGUGAAACUGUUUUCUCUCGUCAAGAGAGAUAUCACACUACUAGUGUUAUUUCAAUUCGAGUUAAUUUCUAACUUGCAAUGGAAAUUUUCUUGUUUGCUAAGGUAGGUUUUCAGUAUCAUCUCGCUUUUCCUUACAAAUUGCAGAUUUAAAGAGUUUUGCUGAAAUUGAGAGGGAAGUCGGAAAAAAUGUCAACUUCAGGUGUGAAUAAGUAGACUGUUCACAGCCCUCUAUUUUCUCAUAUUUUUAUUCGAUCGUUGAACCCGCCGAGAGAAAGAGAGUCUCAACAAACCACAAGACAGUGUUUUUUUUUAUUUUUUACAGUGUUUGAGAGCCUGCAUGAAAGAGAAUUUGAAAUUAAUGUUAAGAAAUUGUUGGUGAACCAUUUCAUUUUGUCUAAGAAUACUG